GAUGAACGCUGGCGGCGUGCCUAAUACAUGCAAGUCGAGCGAACGGACGAGAAGCUUGCUUCUCUGAUGUUAGCGGCGGACGGGUGAGUAACACGUGGAUAACCUACCUAUAAGACUGGGAUAACUUCGGGAAACCGGAGCUAAUACCGGAUAAUAUUAUGAACCGCAUGGUUCAAAAGUGAAAGACGGUCUUGCUGUCACUUAUAGAUGGAUCCGCGCUGCAUUAGCUAGUUGGUAAGGUAACGGCUUACCAAGGCAACGAUGCAUAGCCGACCUGAGAGGGUGAUCGGCCACACUGGAACUGGGACACGGUCCAGACUCCUACGGGAGGCAGCAGUAGGGAAUCUUCCGCAAUGGGCGAAAGCCUGACGGAGCAACGCCGCGUGAGUGAUGAAGGUCUUCGGAUCGUAAAACUCUGUUAUUAGGGAAGAACAUAUGUGUAAGUAACUGUGCACAUCUUGACGGUACCUAAUCAGAAAGCCACGGCUAACUACGUG
rnacentral:rRNA from 1 species